rnacentral:rRNA from 1 species
GAUGAACGCUGGCGGCGUGCUUAACACAUGCAAGUCGAACGGAAAGGCCCAAGCUUGCUUGGGUACUCGAGUGGCGAACGGGUGAGUAACACGUGGGUGAUCUGCCCUGCACUUCGGGAUAAGCCUGGGAAACUGGGUCUAAUACCGGAUAGGACCACAUUUUGGAUGGUGUGGUGGAAAGUUUUUCGGUGUGGGAUGAGCUCGCGGCCUAUCAGCUUGUUGGUGGGGUAAUGGCCUACCAAGGCGUCGACGGGUAGCCGGCCUGAGAGGGUGUACGGCCACAUUGGGACUGAGAUACGGCCCAGACUCCUACGGGAGGCAGCAGUGGGGAAUAUUGCACAAUGGGCGCAAGCCUGAGGCAGCGACGCCGCGUGGGGGAUGACGGCCUUCGGGUUGUAAACUCCUGUCGCUAGGGACGAAGCGUUUUUGUGACGGUACCUGGAGAAGAAGCACCGGCUAACUACGUG